rnacentral:rRNA from 1 species
UCAGGACGAACGCUGGCGGCGUGCCUAACACAUGCAAGUCGAGCGGGGACAUACGACGGAGCAGAAGUUUCGGAUGGAAGCGAAGAUGUAUGUUCUAGCGGCGGACGGGUGAGUAACGCGUGAGCAACCUGUCCUUCACAGGGGGAUAACACAGCGAAAGUUGUACUAAUACCGCAUAAGACCACAUUGGGACAUCCCAGAGGGGUCAAAAGGAGCAAUCCGGUGAAGGGUGGGCUCGCGUCCGAUUAGAUAGUUGGUGAGGUAACGGCCCACCAAGUCGACGAUCGGUAGCCGACCUGAGAGGGUGAUCGGCCACAUUGGGACUGAGACACGGCCCAAACUCCUACGGGAGGCAGCAGUGGGGAAUAUUGGGCAAUGGGGGGAAACCCUGACCCAGCAACGCCGCGUGAGGGAAGAAGGUUUUCGGAUCGUAAACCUCUGUCCUUGGUGAAGAGUAAGAGACGGUAGCCAAGGAGGAAGCCCCGGCUAACUACGUGCCAGCCGCCGC